rnacentral:rRNA from 1 species
GACGAACGCUGGCGGCGUGCCUAAUACAUGCAAGUAGAACGCUGAAGGGAGAGCUUGCUCUUCUGGAUGAGUUGCGAACGGGUGAGUAACGCGUAGGUAACCUGCCUGGUAGCGGGGGAUAACUAUUGGAAACGAUAGCUAAUACCGCAUAACAGCAAAUGUUGCAUGACAUUUGCUUAAAAGGUGCAAUUGCAUCACUACCAGAUGGACCUGCGUUGUAUUAGCUAGUUGGUGGGGUAACGGCUCACCAAGGCGACGAUACAUAGCCGACCUGAGAGGGUGAUCGGCCACACUGGGACUGAGACACGGCCCAGACUCCUACGGGAGGCAGCAGUAGGGAAUCUUCGGCAAUGGACGGAAGUCUGACCGAGCAACGCCGCGUGAGUGAAGAAGGUUUUCGGAUCGUAAAGCUCUGUUGUAAGAGAAGAACAAGUGUGAGAGUGGAAAGUUCACACUGUGACGGUAUCUUACCAGAAAGGGACGGCUAACUACGUGCCAGCAGCCGCGGUAAUACGUAGGCCCCGAGCGUUGUCCGGAUUUAUUGGGCGUAAAGCGAGCGCAGGCGGUUAGAUAAGUCUGAAGUUAAAGGCUGUGGCUUAACCAUAGUACGCUUUGGAAACUGUUUAACUUGAGUGCAAGAGGGGAGAGUGGAAUUCCAUGUGUAGCGGUGAAAUGCGUAGAUAUAUGGAGGAACACCGGUGGCGAAAGCGGCUCUCUGGCUUGUAACUGACGCUGAGGCUCGAAAGCGUGGGGAGCAAACAGG